rnacentral:rRNA from 1 species
AACGGGAAACCCAAGCCUAUGGGUUCAGGGGGGAGUACUGUCGCAAGGCUGAAACUUAAAGGAAUUGACGGAAUGGCACCACAAGGCGUGGAGUAUGCGGCUUAAUUUGACUCAACACGGGGAAUGUUACCAGGUCAGGACGUUGCUGGGAUGGACAGAUUGAGAGCUCUUUCUUGAUCCUUCGGAUGGUGGUGCAUGGCCGCUCCUGAUUGGUGGAGUGAUUUGUCUGGUUGAUUCCGAUAACGAGUGAGACAUCUGCCUCCCAGUAGGCCCCGGUCUCGCACUUGUAGGGUGUCGCCGUGUGGGAAGAGGCGGUUCGCCGUCCUUGGUACCCUCGGCGGUCACCUGAGAGGCCAGUGGUAUAGCUUCUCUGAGGUGCUGUGUACGCCACCAAGUGCACGCAUGCUAGAGCCAACAGCAGGUCUGUGAUGCUCCCAGAUGUCCUGGGCCGCACGCGCACUACAUUGGUCCAGUGAAUGUGUCCUGCACUCCCUCUGUGGAGGCCUGCCUGGAAGUGGGUGGGAAACCCCUGGAGCCUGUCUGACCGUACUGGGGAUAGAUGAUUGCAACUGUCUGCCUUGAACGAGGAAUGCCUAGUAAGCGUGGGUCAUCAGCCCACACUGAUUGUGUCCCUGCCAUUUGUACACACCGCCCGUCGUUGCUACCGAUGGUGGCAGGAUAGAGCCAUCAGGAGGCGCUGCACUCUCUCCAGAGUCAGGCUAAAAUUGGGCAAUGUCCUGCCACUAGAGGAAGCAAAAGUCGUAACAAGGUUGUUGUAGGUGAACCUGCAGAAGGAUUCA